AGAGUUUGAUCAUGGCUCAGAUUGAACGCUGGCGGCAGGCCUAACACAUGCAAGUCGAGCGGUAGCACAGAGAGCUUGCUCUCGGGUGACGAGCGGCGGACGGGUGAGUAAUGUCUGGGAAACUGCCUGAUGGAGGGGGAUAACUACUGGAAACGGUAGCUAAUACCGCAUAACGUCGCAAGACCAAAGUGGGGGACCUUCGGGCCUCAUGCCAUCAGAUGUGCCCAGAUGGGAUUAGCUAGUAGGUGGGGUAACGGCUCACCUAGGCGACGAUCCCUAGCUGGUCUGAGAGGAUGACCAGCCACACUGGAACUGAGACACGGUCCAGACUCCUACGGGAGGCAGCAGUGGGGAAUAUUGCACAAUGGGCGCAAGCCUGAUGCAGCCAUGCCGCGUGUGUGAAGAAGGCCUUCGGGUUGUAAAGCACUUUCAGCGGGGAGGAAGGCGNNNNNNNUCGAUUGACGUUACCCGCAGAAGAAGCACCGGCUAACUCCGUGCCAGCAGCCGCGGUAAUACGGAGGGUGCAAGCGUUAAUCGGAAUUACUGGGCGUAAAGCGCACGCAGGCGGUCUGUCAAGUCGGAUGUGAAAUCCCCGGGCUCAACCUGGGAACUGCAUUCGAAACUGGCAGGCUAGAGUCUUGUAGAGGGGGGUAGAAUUCCAGGUGUAGCGGUGAAAUGCGUAGAGAUCUGGAGGAAUACCGGUGGCGAAGGCGGCCCCCUGGACAAAGACUGACGCUCAGGUGCGAAAGCGUGGGGAGCAAACAGGAUUAGAUACCCUGGUAGUCCACGCCGUAAACGAUGUCGAUUUGGAGGUUGUGCCCUUGAGGCGUGGCUUCCGGAGCUAACGCGUUAAAUCGACCGCCUGGGGAGUACGGCCGCAAGGUUAAAACUCAAAUGAAUUGACGGGGGCCCGCACAAGCGGUGGAGCAUGUGGUUUAAUUCGAUGCAACGCGAAGAACCUUACCUGGUCUUGACAUCCACAGAACUUUCCAGAGAUGGAUUGGUGCCUUCGGGAACUGUGAGACAGGUGCUGCAUGGCUGUCGUCAGCUCGUGUUGUGAAAUGUUGGGUUAAGUCCCGCAACGAGCGCAACCCUUAUCCUUUGUUGCCAGCGGUUAGGCCGGGAACUCAAAGGAGACUGCCAGUGAUAAACUGGAGGAAGGUGGGGAUGACGUCAAGUCAUCAUGGCCCUUACGACCAGGGCUACACACGUGCUACAAUGGCAUAUACAAAGAGAAGCGACCUCGCGAGAGCAAGCGGACCUCAUAAAGUAUGUCGUAGUCCGGAUUGGAGUCUGCAACUCGACUCCAUGAAGUCGGAAUCGCUAGUAAUCGUAGAUCAGAAUGCUACGGUGAAUACGUUCCCGGGCCUUGUACACACCGCCCGUCACACCAUGGGAGUGGGUUGCAAAAGAAGUAGGUAGCUUAACCUUCGGGAGGGCGCUUACCACUUUGUGAUUCAUGACUGGGGUGAAGUCGUAACAAGGUAACCGUAGGGGAACCUGCGGUUGGAUCACCU
rnacentral:rRNA from 1 species